AGAGUUUGAUCCUGGCUCAGAGUUAACGCUGGCGGCGUGCCUAACACAUGCAAGUCGAGCGAAUUUUUACAGAGUAUCGUAAAAGUUAGCGGCAGACGGGUGAGUAACACAUGGGAAACCUUCCUCAAAAUGGGGAACAUCUCCGAGAAAUCGGAGCUAAUACCGCAUAAGACCACAGUUUGGCAUCAAACAGGGGUAAAAGCAGUAAUGCGUUUUGAGAUGGUCCUGUGUCCUAUCAGCUAGUUGGUGGGGUAACGGCCUACCAAGGCUAUGACGGGUAUCCGGCCUGAAAGGGUGAACGGACACACUGGAACUGAGACACGGUCCAGACUCCUACGGGAGGCAGCAGUGGGGAAUUUUGGACAAUGGGCGAAAGCCUGAUCCAGCGACGCCGCGUGGAGGAUGAAGGCCUUCGGGUUGUAAACUCCUUUUGGAGGGGAAGAAUAAAUUGACGGUACCCUCAGAAAAAGCCACGGCUAACUACGUGCCAGCAGCCGCGGUAAUACGUAGGUGGCGAGCGUUACUCGGAAUUACUAGGCGUAAAGCGUAUGUAGGUGGUUAGAUAAGUCUAUGGUGAAAUUUCCUGGCUCAACUGGGAAGGGACAUAGAUACUAUCUGGCUUGAGUGUGGGAGGGGGAGACGGAAUUCCUGGUGUAGCGGUGAAAUGCGUAGAUAUCAGGAGGAACACCGAUGGCGAAAGCAGUCUCCUGGCCCAAUACUGACACUGAGGUACGAAAGCUAGGGUAGCAAACAGGAUUAGAUACCCUGGUAGUCCUAGCUGUAAACGAUGUUCACUAGAUGUGGGAGGUAUCGACCCCUUCCGCGUCGACGCUAACGCAUUAAGUGAACCGCCUGGGGAGUACGGCCGCAAGGUUGAAACUCAAAUGAAUUGACGG
rnacentral:rRNA from 1 species